rnacentral:tRNA from 1 species
GCCGGGGUGGCGAAACUGGUACACGCGAUAGAUUGAGGUUCUAUUGCCGAAAGGCUUGCAGGUUCAAGUCCUGUCCCCGGCA